GUAGUUGGUGAGGUAACGGCCCACCAAGGCGACGAUGGGUAGCCGACCUGAGAGGGUGAUCGGCCACACUGGAACUGAGACACGGUCCAGACUCCUACGGGAGGCAGCAGUGGGGAAUAUUGCACAAUGGGCGCAAGCCUGAUGCAGCGACGCCGCGUGCGGGAUGACGGCCUUCGGGUUGUAAACCGCUUUUGACUGGGAGCAAGCCCUUCGGGGUGAGUGUACCUUUCGAAUAAGCACCGGCUAACUACGUGCCAGCAGCCGCGGUAAUACGUAGGGUGCAAGCGUUAUCCGGAAUUAUUGGGCGUAAAGGGCUCGUAGGCGGUUCGUCGCGUCCGGUGUGAAAGUCCAUCGCUUAACGGUGGAUCCGCGCCGGGUACGGGCGGGCUUGAGUGCGGUAGGGGAGACUGGAAUUCCCGGUGUAACGGUGGAAUGUGUAGAUAUCGGGAAGAACACCAAUGGCGAAGGCAGGUCUCUGGGCCGUCACUGACGCUGAGGAGCGAAAGCGUGGGGAGCGAACAGGAUUAGAUACCCUGGUAGUCCACGCCGUAAACGGUGGAUGCUGGAUGUGGGGACCAUUCCACGGUCUCCGUGUCGGAGCCAACGCGUUAAGCAUCCCGCCUGGGGAGUACGGCCGCAAGGCUAAAACUCAAAGAAAUUGACGGGGGCCCGCACAAGCGGCGGAGCAUGCGGAUUAAUUCGAUGCAACGCGAAGAACCUUACCUGGGCUUGACAUGUUCCCGACAGCCCCAGAGAUGGGGCCUCCCUUCGGGGCGGGUUCACAGGUGGUGCAUGGUCGUCGUCAGCUCGUGUCGUGAGAUGUUGGGUUAAGUCCCGCAACGAGCGCAACCCU
rnacentral:rRNA from 1 species